rnacentral:rRNA from 1 species
AACGAACGCUGGCGGCGCGUCUUAAGCAUGCAAGUCGAACGGCAAGAUUGGUGCUUGCACCGAUCCUAGAGUGGCGGACUGGUGAGUAACGCGUGGGUGACGUACCCUAAGGAUGGGGAUAGCUGGUAGAAAUAUCAGAUAAUACAGAAUAUCCUUAUUGUUGUUAGAGGACAGUAAGGAAAGGAGCUUUGGCUUCGCCUAAGGAUCGGCCCGCGUACUAUUAGCUAGUUGGUGAGGUAACGGCUACCCAAGGCGACGAUAGUUAUCCGGCCUAAGAGGGUGAACGGACACAUUGGGACUGAGAUACGGCCCAGACUCCUACGGGAGGCAGCAGCUAAGAAUAUUCCGCAAUGGAGGAAACUCUGACGGAGCGACGCCGCGUGGAUGAUGAAGGCCGGAAGGUUGUAAAAUCCUUUUAAGCAAGAAGAAUAAACUUUACAGGGAAUGGUAGAGUGGUGACGGUAUUGCUUGAAUAAGCAACGGCUAAUUACGUGCCAGCCGCCGCUGUAAUAC